GACGAACGCUGGCGGCGUGCUUAACACAUGCCAGUCGAACGGAAAGGCCCUGCUUUUGUGGGGUGCUCGAGUGGCGAACGGGUGAGUAACACGUGAGUAACCUGCCCUUGACUUUGGGAUAACUUCAGGAAACUGGGGCUAAUACCGGAUAGGAGCUCCUGCUGCAUGGUGGGGGUUGGAAAGUUUCGGCGGUUGGGGAUGGACUCGCGGCUUAUCAGCUUGUUGGUGGGGUAGUGGCUUACCAAGGCUUUGACGGGUAGCCGGCCUGAGAGGGUGACCGGCCACAUUGGGACUGAGAUACGGCCCAGACUCCUACGGGAGGCAGCAGUGGGGAAUAGUGCACAAUGGGCGGAAGCCUGAUGCAGCAACGCCGCGUGCGGGAUGACGGCCUUCGGGUUGUAAACCGCUUUCGCCUGUGGCGAAGCGUGAGUGACGGUAAUGGGGAAAGAAGCACCGGCUAACUACGU
rnacentral:rRNA from 1 species